GAGCAGUAUCAUGGAGGAGUGGAAAGCAGUCUGUCAUUGCUGCUUCCACCAUGGAAGCUGAGUUUGUAGCAUGUUUUGAAGCUACCGUUCACAGUUUAUGGAUGCGGAACUUUAUCUCAGGGCUUAGGAUUGUCGACACUAUAGCUAGGCCGCUGAGAAUUUACUGUGAUAAUUCCGCAGCUAUCUUCUUCUCGAAAAAUGAUAAGUACUCGAAAGGUGCUAAGCAUAUGGAGAUAAAAUACUUAUCUGUCAAAGAAGAAGUGCAGAAACAAAGAGUAUCAUUUGAGCAUAUCAGUACUGAUUUUAUGAUAGCGGAUCCAUUAACUAAGGGACUGCCGCCUAAGACUUUUAAUGCUCAUGUUGAUCGUAUGGGCAUUAUAGAUAAGUCGUUGUUGUAAUUUAAAUAAUUGCUCAUUAUAUAUGAUAUCUUGAAUUCAAUAAAGUCUUGUUUCUGUUAUUGAAAGUCAUAUUAUCAUUAAAUUAUUUGUGUACAUAUGAAGUUGAUAAAGAUAAUAUGCAUUAUUGUUCUAUAGUUACUUCUGGCCAUAAAAGAGGUUUUGGAUGACAAACGUUUGUGAUACUUGGAAGGAAUCAUAUUCAAAUAAAAUGAUGUGUGACCGCCAAGAUUCAAUUGUUUGUUGUUCAAAUAAAAGUUAUCGGUGAUAGAUGAAUACAAUAUAAAAUUACGCGUUUUAAAGAUUGUAGAUCAUCAAAUCAUCACAUGGGCCAAGUGGGAGAAUGUUGGAAAUAUAAAAUUGACCCAUGGAAUUUUGGGUUUUGGACUUCAUAUUAUUUUGAGCUCAUUGAUGGAUAUGAGCUAAUUAAGUUUGAAUGUCCAUUGGUAUUCAUGGUAAUCCAUCUCUUUCCCCUAUAAAUAGAGGAUCUUGAUUCAUAUUUUUCAUCCAUCAGAAAAAUUAUCAAAGUAAGGGUGAAAAGAGAGAAAAACCGAUUUACCGAAUUAUUCUUCAAAGUCAUUCCGCUGCAAAAUGGAUUCAGUGACUGCGAAGAUGAUGAUGGUAGCUAUCAGCUUCUAUCUAUGACAAAAGAGCAGUUUCUUCUCCGCAGGUGAUGAGGUUCAAGACUUCAUCUGCUGAUAUGAUGGACGAAGGGAGGCAGCCUCUGUCUAGGAAGUUACCCAUCAAGUCGAGUAGAAUCAAUCCUUACAACACAGUCAAGUGGUAGGAAGUUUACCCAUCAAGUGGAGAGUGAUAUAAGAAUCUGAAGAACCGUAAUUCUCGAUUUCUCUUGGGACUCUAUUAAUGGCGGUGGCGGGAGAUCCGAUGGUGGAUUCGGCGAUAUUACCGUCGAAUUCGUACGACACAGUCAUUCUCGACGGCAUUUUCAAUAGGUUGCAUGAUGAGCAUCGGUUAUUCCUUAAGGUAAUGAGUUUUUACAUCGUUUUAUGUUUUUGAGACUUUUCUGAAAUUAAACGUAGACGUCUGGAUUGUUCUGGAAAGGAAAAAAAUUCAGGCAGCGUCUUAGCUGGUAGGGACUGGAACAUUCUCGAAAUAUAUAUGUGAUGAGCCGAUAUUGACGAAUCAAUCAGUAAGUGAGUCACAUAUGAUGUUUUGAAUUGCAUAUAAAGCUGGUAAUAUGCAUUAUGUGAAAAUGACGUUCAA